GCAAUUUACAGCCUGCUUCCGGCGAUGAUUUAGGAUCAAAGUUACACACUUAUAUACUAGAUUAAUGGAAAUAAGUAACGCGCACCCAAACUUCAACGUAAUAGUGUGAAAAUGAAAUAAUUUGGAUACAAGGUUUUCAAAAUCAGAAACGAAGCAAGAAGAACUUUUCUGAGGCUUAAGUGUUGAAGUUCAGUUGUGAUUGUCAUGCCCUAGGAUAUGCUAAUGGAUUGAUGGAGAAGAACGUCUGGAAUCAGAUACAGAAAGUAACAUGGUAGACAUGUACAUAUUUAAAGCAAGUGGAAACCUUUAAAAGAACGAACAACUAAACUAAGAAUUAUGUGCACAUCAUAGGAUAUUGACGUCAAUGGAAACAAAAUGUUUGUACUAGUUGAUCGCAGGAAUAUUGAUGAAAAAGUUAAAAGACAUUCAGUGAUAGGGAUGAAGUGGAGGCAUUAUCGAUAAACAAAGAGUCCCCAGUUCAGGAAAUGGUACAGCGCUGAGAGUAUUUUGAAAGUAAAGAAAGGU